rnacentral:rRNA from 1 species
GGCUUAGAAGCAGCCACUCAUUUAAAGAGUGCGUAAUAGCUCACUAGUCGAGUGAUUGUGCGCCGAAAAUGUAACGGGGCUAAAAUUCAUACCGAAGCUUAGGAAUGAUAGUAAUAUUGUUGGUAGAUGAGCGUUGUGUAAGUCUGCGAAGCUACACCGAAAGGAGUAGUGGAGAUAUCACAAGUGAGAAUGCCGGAAUGAGUAGCGAGAAUUAUGUGAGAAUCAUAAUGGUCGAAAAUCUAAGGUUUCUUGAGGAAGGUUCGUCCGCUCAAGGUAAGCCGGGAGCUAAGGCGAGGCCGAGAGGCGUAGUCGAUGCACAUACGGUAAAGAUUCCGUAGCCACCGAAGUCGUUAAAUACAGGGACACAGGAACAUAGCCUAACCCCACCGUUGGUUGAGUGGGGCGUAAGGGAGCGAAAAUUAGUAGCGAAGUGGGUGAUUGUACACUGGCGAGAAAAGCUGUAUGAAUUGACAAGGUGCCCGUACCGCAAACCGACACAGGUAGAUGAGGAGAGAAUCCUAAGACCAGCGGGAGAAGUGUUGUUAAGGAACUCGGCAAAAUGACCCCGUAACUUCGGGAUAAGGGGAGCCUACGAGAGUAGGCCGCAGAGAAUAGUCUCAAGCGACUGUUUAGCAAAAACACAGGUCUAUGCUAAAUCGAAAGAUGAUGUAUAUGGGCUGACGCCUGCCCGGUGCUGGAAGGUUAAGGGGAAGUGUUAGAGCAAUCGAAGCACUGAACUUAAGCCCCAGUAAACGGCGGCCGUAACUAUAACGGUCCUAAGGUAGCGAAAUUCCUUGUCAGGUAAGUUCUGACCCGCACGAAUGGCGUAACGACUUGAGAGCUGUCUCAACAACAUACCCGGCGAAAUUGAAGUACUGGUAAAGAUGCCAGUUACCCGUGAUAAGACGGAAAGACCCCAUGGAGCUUUACUGUAACUUGAUAUUGAAUUUUUGUAUUACAUGUACAGGAUAGGUGGGAGACAGAGAACUAAUGCCGCCAGGUGUUAGGGAGUCGAUGUUGGGAUACCACUCUUGUAAUAUGAAGGUUCUAACCUGCACCCGUGAAUCCGGGUGGGGGACACUGUCAGGUGGACAGUUUGACUGGGGCGGUCGCCUCCUAAAAGGUAACGGAGGCGCUCAAAGGUUGGCUCAGCACGGACGGAAAUCGUGCAAUGAGUGUAAACGUAUAAGCCAGCCUAACUGCGAGACCGACGGGUCGAGCAGUAACGAAAGUUGGAGUUAGUGAUCCGGCGGUAUG